rnacentral:rRNA from 1 species
GAUGAACGCUAGCGGCAGGCCUAAUACAUGCAAGUCGAACGGUAUGCAGAUCAAAGCUUGCUUUGGUCUGGUGAGAGUGGCGCACGUGUGCGUAACGCGUGAGCAACCUACCCUUGUCAGGGGGAUAGCCCGGCGAAAGUCGGCUUAAUACCGCAUGACAUCAUUGAGAGGCAUCUUUCGAUGAUCACAGAUUUAUAGGACUAGGAUGGGCUCGCGUGACAUUAGCUAGUUGGUAAGGUAACGACUUGCCAAGGCUGCGAUGUCUAGGGGCUAUGAGAGGAGAAUCCCCCACACUGGUACUGAGACACGGACCAGACUCCUACGGGAGGCAGCAGUAAGGAAUAUUGGUCAAUGGACGGAAGUCUGAACCAGCCAUGCCGCGUGCAGGAGGACGGCCCUAUGGGUUGUAAACUGCUUUUAUACGGGAACAAACGUCGGUACGUGUACCGGUCUGAGCGUACCGUAAGAAUAAGGAUCGGCUAACUCCGUG